rnacentral:lncRNA from 1 species
AUCAUUUUCUCCUCCAUCCCUCUCCCAUAGAUGGACAUCAGAUGUCCAUCAUACUCCUAGGGCCUGGGGAGAUCUCAUGUUUCAGAAUUCCCUGGUUUCUGAAGCCUUUGAGGAGAGGGAAUUGUGUGCGUAAGACUCAGCUUUCUUUUUUCCUGAUGCAACUUUCAUUUUUUUUUCUGUCUUUCACCAACAGAUUCUACCACCUGUAGUUCAGCCAAGUCCAAGGUGCUUCGUGUGUGUCGGAUGAAUACACUGGACAAAAGAAAAAAAGG